rnacentral:rRNA from 1 species
UACGUAGGGGGCGAGCGUUGUCCGGAAUUAUUGGGCGUAAAGGGCGUGUAGGCGGUUAUUUAAGUCAGGUGUGAAACACCACGGCUCAACCGUGGGGUUGCACUUGAAACUGGAGGACUUGAGUGCAGGAGAGGAGAGCGGAAUUCCCGGUGUAGCGGUGAAAUGCGUAGAUAUCGGGAAGAACACCAGUGGCGAAGGCGGCUCUCUGGCCUGCAACUGACGCUGAGGCGCGAAAGCUAGGGUAGCGAACGGGAUUAGAUACCACUGUAGUCCCUGA